GGAGAAUACAUUCUGGUGGAGUGCCCAUUUGGUGCGUCUACAAUUCAACCAUUAGGCUCAGGGAACAUCAUAGAAAAGAGUACAAAGACUGUAAAAGCCACGCCCUGACACCUGCUGUUACAUGAUGUCUUAAGACAUAACAGGGAAGCUGUACCAAGGAAACCUCAAAAGUAUGCUUACCUAAACAGGACUUGCAUCAUAGUAACAUCAGUUGACAUGUCACUGUGGAUGGAGAAAAUUUCAUAAGGUCUCGCUCCUGGAUGAAGAGCUACCAGCAAUCAAUGGCUGAAAAAAGAGGGAGGAGCCGUUUUCUCCAGGGACCAGUUCCCUGAUAGGAAAUCAAAGCCUAGAUGGUCUUCUCUAAACACCAUAUGUCCAGGGUGAGGUGAGGACUCCCAUUGCCAACAUCAGGAAUAGUGUCAAUAUUCUCAUUAUCACACUAAGUCUUAUCAAGAGACAUACCACAGAAACAAGAGUCUGGGAUCGAGUAAUGGCUCCCAGGGGACAGACCCACAACUGUGGAUCACUCUCAGCUGGCUGAUCCCAGGAGGCUGAAUUAUAAUUUCUUCAACAUUUCAACAAGGAUAAACUUCUUGAGGAAGAGUCUAGAGUGGUCGGUAGGAUGCUCCUGGGAAGAUAAGCCAUUCCAGUUGAGAGAGUAUGACAGCACAAUGUGGACUCCCCAUCCCUACACACACACCUCUUUCUGGCUAUAGAACCUCGUUAUAAAAUGGGCUAUUAGGCUAACAGCCUAAUUCACCAGGGCUGGGCUCCCCGGGACCCUGUGUACCUCAGAGAACUGGCACCAGCCCCAAGAGAGGGCACAGCUGUGAAAGCUAAUGUUACAGGCUGGCUGUCCUCCAAGGAUAAGGCAGAUCUUCAGUCAACAUUAAGCUUCUGCCUUGGGCUCAAGUCUCCAGUAGGUCAAAUUGUAAGUCCAGUCCAAAGUAAUAACCUGAGACCCAGGGGUCCAUCCUCACCUCCACUGCCUAUCUCCACAAAGGGCACCUGCGCCCGAGCAGCAUGUCUGCAUCCUCCUCUGCAUAGUCCGAACAAUCCAGCCUUGUCCACUGACUUAAGCAGCAACUCCACCUAGCCUUCCUAGGGAGCCUUGUCCUUGCUGUCUUUCAAGGUGGAUGUAUAGACAAGGCCGUUAAUGAUGUCAUUUGUGAUCUGAAGCACUUUUUCUUGGGGGCUUCUCCUCCAUUAAAAAAAAAACUCUCUGAAAUACAUUUUACAACUUAGUUGACCUAAAGACAGGAUCCACCGUGCAGUCACAUUACAUAUUUAUCCUUAUGGCUUUCAUCUUUUCUUCUAAUGAGAAUACGUUAACAUCAAGACAGUUUUUUGUUUUUUGUUUUUUUUUUUUUUAAUGAAGUGCCAUGAAGCUAAGGGUAAGCUGUCUCCAAGACAGAGCAAGGUAGCCAUGCCUCAUGGUGGCAUUCCAGGGAGAAAAUGUCCUGGGAGAGGACAUGCCCAAGCUCACCCUGAGGAGCUUCAGGGAUGUUGAGUUUGUGCAACAGCUGGAAAAGAGUUUUGUCACCUGGUCUGCAGCCCAAACAAAGUGAGGAGAUCACUGGACAUCUCCAUUCUGGAAACAAAUCUGCCCUCAAAGCUACAUGAGCCUCAACAGACUCCCAAUCAAGAAGUAGGUACCCCCAGGGUGUGAUGGUCAGCUUC